UAAGGAAUAUUGCGCAAUGGGCGACAGCCUGACGCAGCGACGCCGCGUGGGGGAUGAAGGUCUUCGGAUUGUAAACCCCUUUCGGCAGGGAAGAUGGAACGGGUAACCGUUCGGACGGUACCUGCAGAAGCAGCCACGGCUAACUUCGUGCCAGCAGCCGCGGUAAUACGAAGGUGGCAAGCGUUAUUCGGAUUUACUGGGCGUACAGGGAGCGUAGGCGGUUCGGUAAGCCCUUUGUGAAAUCUCCAGGCUUAACCUGGAACAGUCGGAGGGGACUGCCGGGCUAGAGGACGGGAGAGGAGCGCGGAAUUCCCGGUGUAGCGGUGAAAUGCGUAGAGAUCGGGAGGAAGGCCGGUGGCGAAGGCGGCGCUCUGGAACGUUUCUGACGCUGAGGCUCGAAAGCGUGGGGAGCAAACAGGAUUAGAUACCCAUGUAGUCCCUGAGCGGGCUGGCAAGGCGCAU
rnacentral:rRNA from 1 species